UGGUUAUUACUAAGGCUUUUAGAAUGCAAUUUCUCAUUUGCCAUGAACAUGACUACAAAACAUUUUCCCAAUAGGUUUUCUUUCUGCUAUAUUGGUAGCAUUGCUAUGUUUAGCCUUUUGGGGAUACUU
rnacentral:snoRNA from 1 species